UGGGGAAUAUUGCGCAAUGGGCGAAAGCCUGAUGCAGCAACGCCGCGUGAGUGAUGAAGGUCUUCGGAUUGUAAAGCUCUGUCUUUUGGGACGAUAAUGACGGUACCAAAGGAGGAAGCCACGGCUAACUACGUGCCAGCAGCCGCGGUAAUACGUAGGUGGCGAGCGUUGUCCGGAUUUACUGGGCGUAAAGGGUGCGUAGGCGGAUGUUUAAGUGAGAUGUGAAAUACCCGGGCUUAACUUGGGUGCUGCAUUUCAAACUGGAUAUCUAGAGUGCAGGAGAGGAGAAUGGAAUUCCUAGUGUAGCGGUGAAAUGCGUAGAGAUUAGGAAGAACACCAGUGGCGAAGGCGAUUCUCUGGACUGUAACUGACGCUGAGGCACGAAAGCGUGGGUAGCAAACAGGAUUAGAUACCCUGGUAGUCCACGCCGUAAACGAUGAGUACUAGGUGUAGGAGGUAUCGACCCCUUCUGUGCCGCAGUAAACACAUUAAGUACUCCGCCUGGGAAGUACGAUCGCAAGAUU
rnacentral:rRNA from 1 species